rnacentral:lncRNA from 1 species
AUGGAAACUAAACAGUCACCAUAAAAACUUUCAACUUUUCAACUUCACAAUACCAAUUCCAAGCAACAAAUAGCAGAACGAAUGCUAAAACUUCAAGAAGCAACUGGAAAAAGAAAGCCAGCAUAUCAUCGACACGAACUUAAUUCGAAUCGUUAUCAACAUUGCGGUGAUUAUCAUAAAACAAAGAACAUCAACGAUACAGAGUAACAAUAUUCAGAAAUUUUUUACCAUUCUCACCGAAAUUUUUAACACAGAAUAUGUUGAUAACAUCUACAACUAGAACAAAUCGGAAGAUAGAAAAAGCACAAACACGCACAUGACCCAAAUAUAUCAAAUACUGUCAUGAAAUAAUCAAAAUUCUAAAUAAGCUUAAAUCGAUAUGUUACCGUACAGAUGAAUAGUUGCCAAGAGUUUAUUUCAGAAGAUUAUCAUCAUGGGGUUCUUCAAAUCCACUUAUCC